UACAGAGGGUGCAAGCGUUAAUCGGAUUUACUGGGCGUAAAGCGCGCGUAGGCGGCUAAUUAAGUCAAAUGUGAAAUCCCCGAGCUUAACUUGGGAAUUGCAUUCGAUACUGGUUAGCUAGAGUGUGGGAGAGGAUGGUAGAAUUCCAGGUGUAGCGGUGAAAUGCGUAGAGAUCUGGAGGAAUACCGAUGGCGAAGGCAGCCAUCUGGCCUAACACUGACGCUGAGGUGCGAAAGCAAGGGGAUCAAACAGG
rnacentral:rRNA from 1 species